rnacentral:rRNA from 1 species
CAUCUAAGCGGGAAACUUGCCUCAAGAUGAGAUCUCACUGGGAUCUUGAAUCCCCUAAAGGGCCGUCGAAGACUACGACGUUGAUAGGUGGGGUGUGUAAGCGCUGUGAGGCGUUGAGCUAACCCAUACUAAUUGCCCGUGAGGCUUGACCA